rnacentral:rRNA from 1 species
AUGUUCUCGUCGCAGUCCUUGAGCCGCGUCAACAACAUCCGCACUGCCUUGAUCAAUGCACAGAAAGGGAACCAAUCGGUGGCCGCCUACUUCGCUGCCAUGCGUGGCCUUGCUGAUGAGCUCGCCGCGGCCGGCAAGCCCAUCCAGGAUGAUGAGCUGAUCUCGUAUCUGCUUCACGGA